rnacentral:lncRNA from 1 species
AGCCCCUGAAAUAAUUUCAAAGGUUCUAAUACCAGUUCCUGUCUCAAAUUCAUUUUAUGUUCCUGAAGCAAGGAUUGUUGAGACGCACCGGUAAGCAGGAAUCCUGCCAAGUUGCCUUCAUCCGUAAGUUUUUGGGAAUCAUUGUCAGCCGUUAAGAAGGCAAAAGUAGCUCUCAGAUAGGGAUCGGAGAGCUGAGAUCUAGACUUCAGGCACAACUCCCUCCACAUGCUGUUCCUGUCUUCGGAGAAUCCAGAGAGAGCCAUUGCUACGAUGUUAAGGACUUGGAAUCGUGCCAUCCUCUACCAAUGAACGACUCGAAUAUAACCAUUGCCAUAAGUUCUUCA